UACGAAGGGUGCAAGCGUUACUCGGAAUUACUGGGCGUAAAGGGUGCGUAGGUGGUUGUUUAAGUCUGUUGUGAAAGCCCCGGGCUCAACCUGGGAAUGGCAAUGGAUACUGGACAGCUAGAGUGCGGUAGAGGGUAGUGGAAUUCCCGGUGUUGCAGUGAAAUGCGUAGAGAUCGGGAGGAACACCAGUGGCGAAGGCGGCUACCUGGCCUGUUCUUGACGCUGAGGCGCGAAAGCUAGGGGAGCAAACGGG
rnacentral:rRNA from 1 species